GUGCACCAGGCGAGAAACCUUCGCAAUGCAGGAAACUGCGACGAGGGAACUCCAAGUGCCUACGCUCAGCGUAGGCUGUUCUCAAGCCUAGAAAGCUUGAGGAGUAAGGGCUGGGUAAGACGGGUGCCAUCUGUGGUAGCAGUCAAUAGAUUCGAUUUGUUACUGCAAGGCAUAAGCCGCCGCGGUAAUACCCGCAGCCCAAGUGGUGGCCGCUUUUAUUGGGCCUAGAGCGUCCGUAGCCGGCCCGGUAAAUGCCUGGGUAAAUCGUGGAGCCCAACUUCACGAAUUCCGGGUAGACUGCCGAGCUCGGGACCGGAAGAGGGAGAGGGUAACUUCAGGGGUAGGGUGAAAAUUUCCGUUUCCAUUAACGCUUUUGCGCGAAGCGGAAA
rnacentral:rRNA from 1 species